rnacentral:rRNA from 1 species
GUGGGGAAUUUUGGACAAUGGGCGCAAGCCUGAUCCAGCAAUGCCGCGUGCAGGAAGAAGGCCUUCGGGUUGUAAACUGCUUUUGUACGGAACGAAACGGUCCUGGUUAAUACCUGGGGCUAAUGACGGUACCGUAAGAAUAAGCACCGGCUAACUACGUGCCAGCAGCCGCGGUAAUACGUAGGGUGCGAGCGUUAAUCGGAAUUACUGGGCGUAAAGCGUGCGCAGGCGGUGCUGUAAGACAGGCGUGAAAUCCCCGGGCGCGACCUGGGAAUUGCGCUUGUGACUGCAGUGCUGGAGUACGGCAGAGGGGGAUGGAAUUCCGCGUGUAGCAGUGAAAUGCGUAGAUAUGCGGAGGAACACCGAUGGCGAAGGCAGUCCCCUGGGCCUGUACUGACGCUCAUGCACGAAAGCGUGGGGAGCAAACAGGAUUAGAAACCCCGGUAGUCC